AUGUAAUUUUAGUCGUUUAGUCCUAUUUCCUUGAGAAGAUUUUGAAGACGGUCCUCAUGUUCCUUUUUAUGCUCUUGCAAUAGUCCUUCAAAUCUUAUCAUCCGAUGCUCAUUAUUUUCAGCGAUCAGUUGUUUGACUUGAUCGAUUAUUGCUUGCGAGAGGAGUCUUUAGGAAGAACUGGUUCAGAUUUCUCAAUCUUCAACUUCUUGGUUUCUUCAGAUGCUUCUUCCUCCGCCCUGGAGCGUUUUUUAGAGUCUUCAACAAUCGUGCUGGUGUUAGAAUCAAUAAACUCAUAGCGGGAGGUUCCCAGUUCUUUAAAAUUUCCUCGUAGAUAAUCUAUCCCUAGGCAAUUCUUACUCUAAAGCAGAUUUAUACGGCCUUAAAUAAAGGUUGAAGACCAUGGAGAAUCAACCAAGGAAGCUUGGUGAGCCAAAGGAAGCAAGGGAAUAAAAAAAGAGAAGAAUUGAAGUGCUUUCCGGAUUUGGACCAUUACCUUCCGGAUUAGGAUAAUAAAGGGAUUUAGCUUCCGGAUUGUAAAAUCGCCCAACCACCAGAAGCUCGCACUCAACCAUUUUUGACCGCUUUUUCAUUUUGCACGUUUUUAAUGUGUGCUUGGAUGAACCUUGCAUCCCAAGCUCCUUAACUUCUCCAGCACACUUCAUUUGGGAUUCUUAGAAGUUUAGCAAAGUUAGAAAUGAAGUCCUCUCUUCACCUAUAAAAGAGAGACUCUUCUCCAUGUAAAUCUCAACUUGAAUGAGAUAUUGAAGUGUUGUUGAGAUUACUCCAAACCUCUAUUCUUCGAGUUCACCUUAUUGUGAUUGAUUCAACACCUUCUCCUCUAGCUUCCUUCCCUCAUAGAAGGCCUUCUGAGCUUGUGAGGCUUCAAACACACACCAAACACACACUGAACCUUCCAUCGAACACCUGGUGUGCACCUCUAUUUUCACUCAUCAAUCCAAUUCGCUGCGUCACUUUGAGUCGUGGAGCUACUUUAGCAAGGAACUACUUUAGCAUGGAGCUUGGAGCUGCUUCCAUCAUUAUACCUUUGAUUGACUUACCCAAGUCAUUUCUUGUGCUUAUGAGCAUUGUCUCUUAUGUGAGUUUUUCCUUCAUCUGCUUUGUUUUACAACUUAUGUCUUAAAUUUUUGUACCGAUAAUCUUCUAGAAGAUUCCUUCAUGUCUAGUGAGCUCAUUCGUUGAGCGAUCAAGUUCAAGCUAUUAUACCUAGUGAAGAAUUUCACUGUCUAGUGUCAUCAGAAUUUCUGUGUAUUUUGAGAGUGACACCCGUGCUCUUCAUUAUCUAGGAUGGCUUGGUGGAGUCUAAUAGAAUGGUUGUUGUUGUGUUAGAGAUUUCCCAAGACUUUGAGUUCCUUGAGGAUCAUUUGGACUUCAUUUGGAGUGCCCUCUUUUGAGUUGUGACGAAGGAUGUGUAUUGACUUUUCAGAGAUGUUAAGCCUGCUUCUUGAUGACCUUGAGUAACCUUCGUAUGUUGGAGGCAAGAUGUUUGUUCCUUUUGCUCCUUGAUGAGUCUGAAUAGCUACUUCAACUUAUCUUUGUCUCCUUCUUGUUGUAUUACUUCGACGAACAUCAGCUUGUGUUUUUUCAAUCCCUUGGACUGUUACCUCGAGUUCUGUUAGGAACUAGCUCACUGAGGUAGGCUCUAAUACCAAUUGAAGUUCGAAAAACACUAAAGAGGGGGUUGAAUAAUGUUUCUCAACAUUGUUUUCGAGGCUGAUAUAUAGAUCAUGAUUUGGAUGAUCUUCAUGAGCUGCUUGAAACGACUUCAUAAAUGUUGGUCUGAUGAAUGCAUUUAUAGUUUCAAUUUUAGAUUAUCCUCCUAGUGAUUAGGAAGGAGUCAUUCUUAGCGUAGGUGGCUCGUGUUGAAGAUGUGUAUGAUGAGGGAUUAAUUUUUGGAUAGAAUGAUAGCUUAUAAAUUAAAGCUUAACACAAAGAUAAUUUAUAUUGGUUCACUCAA